AAGUCGUAACAAGGUUUCCGUAGGUGAACCUGCGGAAGGAUCAUUAACGAAUGGGGUUGGUGGUAGUGCUGGUGCUGGGUCUGAGAGCUGAAAGGCUCGAGGGCUGACUGAUCUGCCACUUUGCCUAUAGACCCACUCCUGCAAGGGAGCUGGCUGAGUGAUUGGGAGUUGGUGUUGAGUGAUGCUGGUGCAAAUCGGCGCUGUUCAACCUCACGCUCUCAACCACAUUAUAUAACCAUGAAUUCUGACAUUAAAAAUAAACUUUAACAAGGAUAACUUUUAACAAUGGAUCUCUUGGCUCCU
rnacentral:misc_RNA from 1 species